AGCUGCCCACCAGGGGAAACAAGCUCUACACUGGCUGCAGGACGGGCAGUGGAGAGAGCCAGGACGGGGCUCAGGAGGAGACAGCAGGGAUUCACAUCCCUGCACCCCCUCGGAGGCCAGCAGCAGAAGGUCAUCAGGUAUCUCGAGCCACACAAAGAAUGUCGGGUCCCCCUAAAAGCACCUUGAUGUGAAAGGGUCUGCUGACCAGAGCACACGGGAGGUUUCUCCUCGAGGUGGAGAAGCAAGCAGGAAACGUCAUUGUGUGAUUGUGUCUUCAAGUACGAAUCAGACACAGAGGGAAGCCAGUGAGAGUGUCCUCUGCUGGACACUGGCUCCCUGGGUCGGGAUGGGGUCUCCCAGAGCUCUGCGUGGCCGGCCCAGCCCACACGAGCGAGGCCCUCUGCGGAUGUGUGCUGCGGUUGCUUCCCGAAGGCUGGACCCAUGAAGGUGACCUUUGAGACAAGCUCCGCGCCUCCUUCCGGCGAGGUCUUGGCGGCCAAGGCAAAGCCUCUGCUGCCAUCUGGUGGUGCAUCUUGGAAUCGC